AUAGUGCAGCAGCAUUAGAGUCACACCAGAUCCAUAACAGAGUACCUGAAAUAGUGCUGCAGCAUUAGAGUCACACCAGAUCCAUAACAGAGUACCUGAAAUUUUUCAGAUCCAUAACAUUUUUAGAGAAAUAAAGCAUCACAUAACAGACUAGAGCUUGUCAGACCAAACUAAUAGAUACAACCAACUAGGCAAGCAUAUGAGAAUGGCAGAAGAUAAUUUUCCUGGGACGCAACAUAGCACAAAUUGCUGUUGGUGACAACAUACGAAGUUUGCAGAAACCUUUCAUGAGACAUUGCGCCAUUGGUGGCGGUGUCGCCGAGCUGUUGGAGACGAGAUUUUAUCCUGAGGAAGAGGAGGGCGCUGACUUGGUCCUUCGUGAGGGCUAGUGGUGGUUUGUGAAGGUCCCGGUGGACAGAGCUGUCCUUGGCCACAACACUGGGGAAGGCAUGAGUGGAUGGGGUUAGGGGAUCUGGGAUAUGCUCACCGCCGUCGGUCGAGACUCGGGCUAGCGAAGAUUCCCAUGUGGUGGCAGCGAAGUGGCCGGGAAAGGCAGGCGAUGGAGGGGGUCGGGAGCUCGGGGCUAUGGGCGCCAGUGGCUGCGGGGACGGGUCCGGACGGAGACCCCGAGGACGGCGGCGGCGGAAAGUGUGGGCAGGGGCAGGGGCGGGUAGGGUAGGGUUCAGGCG
rnacentral:lncRNA from 1 species